GGGAACCUGUCAGAAUGAGAUUAGGUAGAUUCAGGCAAAACCGUACACUUCAGUGUGCUUUGUUCCCAGCAAGACAAGUGUUUAGAUUGUACUUUCCAAACUCCUCAAAACGAUCACAGGCACAUAAAGCUGCCCCCCUGGAAAAUGUGGCAAAUCAGAACUAAAUUUUUACCUCCUCCUGUUGCUAUUCUGAAGGCCAGUUGAUUCUUCUCAGCCUAGUGAAUAUUUUCUUUGUUUUAUUUAGAUUUUAGAAAAUAAAGUGGUUGACCUGUUUGUCUUCCUUACAAAGAAAUGUCACAGGCUUAUUUUGAUACAUUCCAUUACAGACAUAAAUUGUAGAAAGGAAAGUGUAGAUGCGAAUUUGUAAUGCUGUCAGUAGCCCUUCCUGUAAAUCUUGCCAAUGUCAAGAACAUCUUGAGGAAUGGAAACUACAGGAAAAUUCCAAUUUGUCAAAAUACCCCGGGAAUGGGAGAUUCCAGGUUAUCUCGAAUUUACCCAGAAAAUCCUUUUUCACAUCAACCCUGGAAGUUGAAAUCUUACUGAAAGGUAUGAGUCGAGUUUCCUGCCCUAAGAAGCAUAGUUUACUUUGAAUGUGAUUUAAUGUUUCUCUGACACUUUAGGGUCAGGCUGGACAUUCUGGACCCCAACUCCCAUUGUCUAGAAAACAAAACAGGAGAUUGGAUACAAUUUGUGCUUGACCCUAGGACAGGUUUUUGAAGUUCCUUGAAUAAGCUUCUUCUUUCAUGUAUUUUAUUCCUUUUUCCUUAUAUAGGGGGGAAAAAAAAACUUGGAAAACUGAGGAGUUUGCCUAUACAAAUUCCAGUACAAUCAAGAUUUUAUUAAUUUCAAUUUUUUGGUUUAGUGCUAAUGAAGGAUGCAACUAAGGACUCAGCUCUCAGGAGUUGGGAGUCUUUCCUAGCAUCACCCCUCCCCUCUCCCCACCCCCAGUAGGAACAGCAUGGAACAGCAGGGGUUCUGCAUUUGGUCAUUUCUUUCCAGAUCAUUUUGUCUCUGUCUAGACAAGGGUUUCUCAACCUCGGCCCUCCUGAUAUCUUGGGCUAGACAGUUCUUUGUAGGAGACUGUCUUGUGCGCUGUAGGGUGUUCAGCAGCAUUUCUGGUCUCUACCCACCAGAUGCCAGUAGUGACAGGGAAGGAGAAGGAUAGUUACACAGGUAGUUGUAGAAGUCUCAAUAAGGGACCAUAGUUAGAGAGGGAAACCUAGGGAACUUUGUGAGACCACUCUAAGUUAAUAAUUGCUCAAGAAAGCCAUCAGAACCAGGCCGGCUUGACUAGUGGAGGCAUGAGAUAUGCCUCAGGUCAUUGGGUGGGGGAUGGGCUGAAGCCUGCAUUCAGGUUCAGACCAAGGGCAGGAGUUUAAGGAUCACCCUUCUACUAAUUUAAAUAAGCACCGUGAUAGUCCUAGUUUGACCUUAUAGGGUCAGAUACUCUCUUACUGGAUUCCAAGGAGGAGCUACUACUUUAAAAAAGAGGAAGAGAUGGUCUUUCCCCUCCCCCCACUCCCCUUGGAUGAUAAAACUGUAGCCCACCUAAUCCUCGGGACAGAGCCUCCUCACCUGCCUGCUUGCAUCUCUCAGAGGUGUCCUAUCUUAAUAAAUCUAUUUCUUCCCUAUCACUUUGUCCCUUGCUAAAUUCCUUCUGCUCAGAGGCAUAAAGAACCUGAACCUCAGUAAGUCCAGACACCAGGUGAGUGAGUCUAAUUUUAAAACAUUGGGGGAGUUCCCGUCAUGGCGCAGUGGUUAACGAAUCCGACUAGGAACCAUGAGGUUGCGGGUUCGAUCCCUGCCCCUGCUCAGUGGGUUGACGAUCCGGCGUUGCCGUGAGCUGUGGUGUAGGUUGCAGACGCGGCUCGGAUCUUGCGUUGCUGUGGCUCUGGCGUAGGCCGGCAGCUACAGCUCCGAUCCGACCCCUGGCCUGGGAACCUCCAUAUGCCGCUGGAGCGGCCCAAGAAAUGGCAAAAAGACAAAAAAAAUAAAAAAUAAAAACAUUGGGUUCAGGUCCCAAUCUGGGUCUUGGCUCGGUUCAAGGCAUAAGUGCUUCAGUUUCAGCAGCCAACCCCCAAGUUGUGACAACUGACAAUAUCUCCAGAUAGGGCCAAAUGUUCCCAAGGGGCAAAAUCCCAGCCCCCCACCCCCAGCACCAGCUGAGAACGACUACUCUAGACAGAGACACAGUUAUUCUUUUUUCCCCUCCCGUUAUCAAGAUUAUGAGUUUUCUUGACCUUGGCAAGUAAUUUCACAGCACAUUUCUUAGACUAUUUCGUAGAAGAACAAAAAUAAUUCUCAUGAUGAAAGUAAUAUUUUGAUGUGAAUUGUGUGAGGCAGGCCUCAUUAAAACAAAACUGUAGGUUUGGCAUUGUUUUUAGAAGGUGGUAGAUUUGUUUUCUGAAUCAAUCAUGACUUUGAUUUUUAAAUACCAAAUUCUUAUACCCUCCUACAUUUCCUUUGAGGUCAUUGUCAUUAUGGACAUCAAGUCAGUGCCUUAGCCACAGCCUCUCGUGUUGUACUGUCAUCUUCAAUUUCAUAUUUGCAUCCAUCUCAGAAAUAUUUUUACUACUGUUGCUGCUUCCCAAUUCUUAAGAGAUUUUCCACUCACUCACUGUUUUUGAAUCCCUUAUUCCCUCUUUCCAGUGGAUUGAGUUACAUUUAAAGUAGAUGUUCUUAAAGAAUAGUCAGUAGAUUUAAAAAAAAAAUCCGCUAAAUUGGUGAAAUUCGGGAGUUAGUGUUAUAUCCCUGAUUUUAAGCCUACAGAGAUAUUUCUGCUAUGGAAGGGGGAGGAGUUAAAUUGUUUGGAUAAGCAGAUUUUUCUGUCUAAUGCUGUAGUGGAAGUCUCUAUACAUAAAUCUUUGCACACACAUCUCAGCAGCACUUGCAGCUAAAACUUGGGAAGACGAAUACAGGGUUAAAGGAUAUAAAUAUUUUAAGGUUCAAUACAUAUUGCCAAAUUGCCUCUGGAAGGUGGUGCCCAUUUUCAGUCUCUUUAUUGGCAAUUCUUUUGAAGGGCUUCCAUCUUGUUCUGUCAGCCUCCAGGCCUGUGAAGACAUUUCCCACGGGACAUUCUUCAGAUACGUCAAUGUAAUAAGAUCCAUCUCAAGAUAUCUGUCAACAGCUUCCCUAGGCCCAUCUCAGACCAUCUGUCAAUGGCAGCUCUGAUAUAUUUUGGGAUGAUGCAGAUGCAAUUGCCAAAAACAAGUUCGCAGUUGAAUCAAGUUUUCCAAUCAGUGCAGUUGCAGAAUUGAACUGUGUUAAUGACACGUGACAAUCUUAGUCCAAUAUCCAGAGACUCCAGGAAGAAAUGUGUCCUUGUGAAUUUAAGGGCAGCUGCAAGAGAAGGAAUGUGGAUUACCUUUCCUGUGAAUUCUGUAGAGCUCACACCAUCCCGACCAUGUUGUAAACAUGGCAGCCAGAACUGAUUGCCAAGCCUUAGCUUCAGGCAAGAUUAGGGAGGAAAGACACCACUUGGAUGCCGGGCUGUAUUACUUAGAAAGGUGCAGUGAUGACAUCUGACUCACACACGCAACUGGUACCUUGAGUGAGUCUGUAUUCUGCGCCAACAAAGACAUGUAAGUGUGAUACUUAUGUGCUCCCAGGAGAUGGAUAGAAUCAGCUCUCCUACAGUGUAUGAAAUGGUCUAUAAAUUGGAAAAUACUAUACAUACAUGAGUUUAUGACAGUUGUCAUUGUAUUGUUAUAAGCUCUGAACUGCCUCUGAGAUCUGGGACUUAAAACAUCUAGAAUCUAUCCAUUUUAUUAUGGAUGCCCUAAAUUGUAAGUGCUAGUAGUUGCCUGGUGCCAGGCCCUCCCUAAACACCCCCUGGCCACUCAGACUCUAAAGAAUCAUGGAGCCCAAAUCAGCCUUUAGUUUUCAAGAGGCUGGUAUAUAUUUCAAGUGUUCAGAAGGCCAGAGUUGCCUCUGCCCUUAAGUAGGUGAUGUGUUCUUUUUUCUCUCAACCACUGGCUAACUGAGUCAGUGUUUGAAGUGGUACAGACAAGCACAAAGUACUCAGAUGUCCAGUCUGUUCUUAGCUCCCUGGGCCAUAUCAUCCUCUUGGCAUCUAGUCUGAAUGAAACAUACCACCAAAGCCAGAGCAGAUAGAAACCACAAGGAACACAUAAGAGACAGAGCCCAGGGCCCACCGCCUUGCCAAUGAGGCCGACUGGAAAGGCAGGCCUGACCUGAAUGGCUUCUCACUGUAAAUAGCUUUAAUAAGAAUGGGCUGAACUUCGCCACCCUCAGACAGUCUCAAAGCAUCUUAACUGUUUCUCCUGCAUGUGGCUUGUCAGGGGUAAGAAUGGCCUGACAUUAUAAAGCAGCCAAAAUGGAGAUUAAAACAGUUAAUAUUCUUAAACUACCUUUACCUGUGUUAUUUCAUAUGGUUGUUCCAAAAAUUCUAUAAGCCAGGACGCUUUAUGUCUUUCAGAGAAGAGGAAACUGAGGCCCAGAGAUGUUAAGUGUCCCACCCAAGGCCACACAGGGAAGAAGUGGCAAAGCCAGGACAUGAACCCCAAAGUGUCACUUUAAGGUCUCUGGUCUCUCUGUCAUAGCACAGUGGAGUCCGGGGUUGGGAUAUUCUUUCUGGAUUGCCUUCUGAAAUAACCUUGGCCCUACAGAUGCACAAUUUUCCGUCUGUGCCUCAGAGCUGCUAUUGAGCUGUUAGGGGAAAGGAGAUGGAGAAAGGGUGAAUCACAGAGAGCUCCAGACAGAAUGAGAACUCAAGGGAUCUUGUCACUUGGAUGAAAAAAUCACUAUUACAACGCAUGGUGUAAAUGUGCUCACAAAUUUGUGCAAUUUUUAUGUGUUAAUUUUUCUAUCGAAAUGAACCCAUUCCAUUCUACAUCAGCGUAAAUACGUUGCAUGUGCCUUCCUACAAGUUUAAACGUUUCGUCUCACAACUCCUAGGACCCAGGAGCUCUGACCAUCUGUGUUCCACCUAGAACUUAAAAGUGUUUUCAUUUUCCUUCAAUCCUGAAUUGGUGUGGAAUUCAGGGUCAGUGUCAACAAAUCCAGAGUGUAUGACUGUGGCAGACACAGGCUCCUCGGUUAGGGUCCCAUUGCCUCAGGAUGGGCCCAUGGAACUAGAUCUUGCCAAGAGACUGUGAGGUAGUUAAGCAGCAGGCAUGUUCCUUCAGGUUCAUUCUCUUCCCUUCUGCCUGGAUGCAGGGAACUUUGGGGCUCUAGGGUAGUGAUUCUCAGACUUGAAUAUGCAUCAGAAGGCAGUUAAGAGACAUAUUACUGGGCCCCAUCCUUAGAGGUCUUACUUAGCAGAUCUGGUUGGGAUCUGAAUAUUUGCAAGUCUUACACAUCCCAAAUGCUGCUGAUGCUGCCAGCCUGGGGACCAUGCCCUGGAAACCACUGCCCCAGAGCAACGCCUCAGUGAAAUACUGGUUACAGUUUAUAUUUCUCCAAGGGGUAUUUUAAACAUUUUGAUGGCCAAGCUGUCUUUUAAACCAGUGAAAUCGAGUCUCCUGGGGUGAGGCUCAUGUAUUAGCAUUUUUAAAGCUCAUUAAGUAAUUACAAAGUGCAGUUAAAAGUUGAAAACUAUUGCCUUAAAAUGGAGUCUUAAGAUGGAAAGAACAUGGGUUCUUAAAUCACCACGUCUAGGAAAGCAGUCUGUCAGUGAGAAGUGUCCACUUUAACUUAUUAUAUGAAGAAGAAAUUAACUUGUAUUAUGUUAGGCUGCUGAAAUUCUGGAGAUGACCCGCUAUUGUAGCCAGCAUUAUCCUAACUAAAAUGAUAAUGGUAACUAU
rnacentral:lncRNA from 1 species